rnacentral:lncRNA from 1 species
GGAAGCCCUAAUCUGUGCAGUGUCAUGCACUAUGCAUCACCACAAGGGAAUCUCCAGUGACUUGUUAUUAAUGAGAGGGAAGAGGACUUCAUACUCAAAUGGUAUGAGGAAUUAACUGCCAGGCUCAUUUUUCCUGCCCAUACAACCUGAGGUAAAUGCAUUACUUUCCUACAGUGCAGAACACAGGAAAGCAAGGAAUGUUUUUACAUUGUCUCAUUUUCUUCUUGUUUCCAUGUAUUUUAAAGGAAAAUAAAACAUUGUAUGGAACAACAACAGAAGGAAGAGGAAAACAUGUAAUAAUGAUUAACAUGCAGAUCUUUAGUGUCUGAAGUUCCUGAACUGAAUUAGAGGCAGUGGCAAAGUGACAUGAAGUAUAUUCAUGGGACAAAAGCUUUUUAAACCCUUCUAAAUUUUGUUCAAUAAACAAACAAACAAAC